rnacentral:rRNA from 1 species
GAUGAACGCUAGCUACAGGCUUAACACAUGCAAGUCGAGGGACCGGCGCACGGGUGAGUAACACGUAUCCAACCUGCCCUUUACUCGGGGAUAGCCUUUCGAAAGAAAGAUUAAUACCCGAUAUAAAGGAUGGGGAUGCGUUUCAUUAGGUUGUUGGUGAGGUAACGGCUCACCAAGCCUUCGAUGGGUAGGGGUUCGGAGAGGAAGGCCCCCCAGAUUGGAACUGGGACCCGGUCCAAACGCCGACGGGAGGCAGCGGUGAGGAAUAUUGGGCAAUGGGCGGUAGCCUGAAACAGCCAAGUAGCGUGAAGGAUGAAGGCUUAUGGAUCGUGAACUUCUUUUAUAUAAGAAGAUGUAUUAUAUGAAUAAGGAUCGGCUAACUCCGUGCCAGCAGCCGCGGUAAUAC